rnacentral:lncRNA from 1 species
GACACAUCUACUGAAGAAAGAACAUCCUUGUGCAAGUUUCUUAUGAUUAUAUCAGAAUCACAAGCAAACAAGUUGAUGGUUUCAGAACAUCGAUUUAUCUGAUUUGUUUCAAAGGUCAUAAUUCCUCCAAAAGCCUUUUCAAUAGCUGGAAGAUGGGAAUCAGUGACAUUCUGGGAUGUGGCUGUGGACUUCACUUAAGAGGAAUGGCAUCUACUUGAUUAUGAUCAGAAAAUACUGUACUGGGACGUGAUCCUGAAAAAUUUGAGAAACCAAAUUUCAGUGGAGCGUCCAGAUGUGAUCUUCAAAGUGGAGCAAGGAUAAGAGCCACGGAUGGUGGAAAAAGAAUCUACAUCUGCAUUACACAGAAUACAAGUCCGUUGGUGAUGCGCGAAUCGGCCAGCUGCCCGGGAGGCAGGGAGCGCUGAGGACCUGGAAGAGCUGUUCCCCCUCCGCCCGCUAAGAAGAGUCUCCUCUGAUGUGGAUGAGAAGCAGACUGGAGGGAGAAGGCAGGGAUGAGUCUACAUUUUCAUCUCUUCCCUGAUCAUCCAGUGAAAGACAAUCCAGUAGAGGGAGCAGCAUUUUAAAGAACCUCUGUG